ACUCAAACUGUAAGAAUCAGUCACAGUAUGGAAGUGGUUUUGUGUUGUUUUUGUGAAAUGGAUUUUGUGUGUCUGUUUUAUUCGUGGGAUAAGGAUGGGAAAUAACCCCAGUUAUGGGAUAAUGCUGGCAAUUUACAAACAUCUAAAACCCAGACUCACAACCCAUACUGCCUCAGCCAUUAUAGAACUUGAAAGACAUUAUUUCUCUAGCAAGGCACUUGUCUGAGAAAUAUGAGCCAGCCCUGGGAUUAUGACAGAUGUCUCCAGGUGAGGCUUUGAUCCUCUGGGUCACUGAAAGCCUGGCCAGGAUUCCGCUGACUUGUCAGGACACUGGUGGCUCCUGGACACUCACGUAUUGGCUUUAGGUUGGCUAGCCAUUGAAUUCUUCCGUGUUGUUCUAAAACGGAUCAACUCCAUUUCCUGACAUCAACUCCCAUUGCCUUCCCUGUCUGUUCCCUUUAAGACUUAAUUCAGAUGCUGCCCAAACCUCUAUGUUGGCCACGCCCCCUCGCUAUGUUGGCCACGCCCCACGCAUCCACACAGAUCUUCCUGGGAGCCUCAAGUCCUUUCUGCGCUCCAAGGUCUUUGUCCUCUCUUUGGCUGCUCAGGCCUUUCCUUCUCCCUUCAAAUCUACUGUCACUGCUUCUGGGAGAUGACCUGGCUUCCCUGCUGCUGCGUGUCCUUCCAGUCUCUCUGUCCCCUUGUCAAUCUAUCUUUGUUUCUGUUUACUCAUUUCUGAUCCCCCCCCCCCCCCAGACUGAGCGUCAAAUCGACACUGACCUGUGAAGACUGUGCUUGGUUUCCUGGCUUUUCACAUUAUUUACUCUUGUCAGUAAGACCCACCAUGCAGACACACAGAGUACAUCCAGACCUGUGGACCCAAGUGACUACAGAACCAGGGGCCAUAGUU
rnacentral:lncRNA from 1 species